GACGAACGCUGGCGGCGUGCUUAACACAUGCAAGUCGAACGGAAAGGCCCUGCUUUUGUGGGGUGCUCGAGUGGCGAACGGGUGAGUAACACGUGAGUAACCUGCCCUUGACUUUGGGAUAACUUCAGGAAACUGGGGCUAAUACCGGAUAGGAGCUCCUGCUGAAUGGUGGGGGUUGGAAAGUUUCGGCGGUUGGGGAUGGACUCGCGGCUUAUCAGCUUGUUGGUGGGGUAGUGGCUUACCAAGGCUUUGACGGGUAGCCGGCCUGAGAGGGUGACCGGCCACAUUGGGACUGCGAUACGGCCCAGACUCCUACGGGAGGCAGCAGUGGGGAAUAUUGCACAGUGGGCGGAAGCCUGAUGCAGCAACGCCGCGUGCGGGAUGACGGCCUUCGGGUUGUAAACCGCUUUCGCCUGUGACGAAGCGUGAGUGACGGUAAUGGGUAAAGAAGCACCGGCUAACUACGUG
rnacentral:rRNA from 1 species